UGAUCCUGGCUCAGAACGAACGCUGGCGGCAGGCCUAACACAUGCAAGUCGAGCGCGCCUUCGGGUGAGCGGCGGACGGGUUAGUAACGCGUGGGAACGUGCCCUUUUCUACGGAAUAGCCUCUGGAAACGGAGAGUAAUACCGUAUACGCCCUUUGGGGGAAAGAUUUAUCGGAGAAGGAUCGGCCCGCGUUAGAUUAGGUAGUUGGUGGGGUAACGGCCUACCAAGCCUACGAUCUAUAGCUGGUUUUAGAGGAUGAUCAGCAACACUGGGACUGAGACACGGCCCAGACUCCUACGGGAGGCAGCAGUGGGGAAUCUUAGACAAUGGGGGCAACCCUGAUCUAGCCAUGCCGCGUGAGUGAUGAAGGCCUUAGGGUCGUAAAGCUCUUUCGCCUGUGAUGAUAAUGACAGUAGCAGGUAAAGAAACCCCGGCUAACUCCGUGCCAGCAGCCGCGGUAAUACGGAGGGGGUUAGCGUUGUUCGGAAUUACUGGGCGUAAAGCGCGCGUAGGCGGAUUAGAAAGUUGGGGGUGAAAUCCCGGGGCUCAACCCCGGAACUGCCUCCAAAACUGCUAGUCUAGAGUUCGAGAGAGGUGAGUGGAAUUCCGAGUGUAGAGGUGAAAUUCGUAGAUAUUCGGAGGAAUACCAGUGGCGAAGGCGGCUCACUGGCUCGAUACUGACGCUGAGGUGCGAAAGUGUGGGGAGCAAACAGGAUUAGAUACCCUGGUAGU
rnacentral:rRNA from 1 species